UUUCGUAAAAAAAAUUUUAAAUACAAUUUUGUUGAGCUACCCAGUGCGUCACUCCAAUUUGUAGGUUAUCAUACCACGUGCUACAAAAAAGUGACUGUUUUGAAUAAAAAAUAUAACGAAGAAUUUCUUAAAUUUAUCGCUGAAUAUACAGAGCAUACCGAUGUAUCUACUACUGAAGAAGAACCACAACAGUUGAAUCCUAGUGUCGAUUCCUGUACUACAGUUGCUGAGGAUGAAACGAGUAAUGUUGAAGACCUGCCUCAAACUUCUGGGGGCUUUGACAAGGAGCAGUCAACAUCAACAGCAUCGACAUCAACAGCAACGACAUCAACAGCAUCGACAUCAA